rnacentral:rRNA from 1 species
GUGUCAUAGAAGGUGAGAACCCUGUGAAUAGUUAUAUUAGAGGGAGGAUAUUGAGUUUGAUUAUCAUAGAGUCGGGUUGUUUGGGAAUGCAGCCUAAAAAGGGUGGUAAAUCUCAUCUAAAGCUAAAUAUUUGGUAAGAGACCGAUAGAAUACAAGUACCGUGAGGGAAAGAUGAAAAGAACUUUGAAAAGAGAGUUAAAAGUACUUGAAAUUGUUAACUGGGAACCGCUUAAAAUUCUAAUCUCUUAAUUUUAUUAAAUCAUCUUCUUCAAGGAUGGAUCACAUUAAAUAGAUGUAACUCAGUUACUCUAUGAGUGGGUGAAGUCAAAGAGGAAGUGCACUUUAGUAGAAUUAUAAUCAACAUGAAUUUUAAGAAACUUAGAAAAAUAGAAGAAAGGUAGUAGUCUUAUCUUCGGGUAUUACUAUGUUAUAAUCUUUUAUUGAAUGAGUUACUUAAGAUUGAGGAAUUAAUGUACUCCUCUAUGGAUUGUGAUAUUAGGUUCAUGGAAGGGAUAAAGUAGCAG